rnacentral:rRNA from 1 species
UACGUAGGUGGCAAGCGUUGUCCGGAUUUACUGGGCGUAAAGAGCGCGCAGGCGGUCGUUCAAGUCGAGUGUGAAAGCCCCCGGCUCAACUGGGGAGGGUCAGCGGAUACGGUGUGGCUCGAGCAAGCUAGGGGGCAAUGGAAUUCCCGGUGUAGUGGUGGAAUGCGUAGAUAUCGGGAGGAACACCAGUGGCGAAGGCGGUUGCCUGGAGCUUUGCUGACGCUGAUGCGCGAAAGCGUGGGGAGCGAUCCGG